rnacentral:rRNA from 1 species
GGGCACUCUAGCGAGACUGCCGGUAAUAACCGGAGGAAGUGGGGAUGACGUCAAUCAUCAUGCCCUUAUGACCUGGGCUACACACGUGCUACAAUGGUUGGUACAACGAGUUGCGAGUCGGUGACGGCGAGCUAAUCUCUUAAAGCCAAUCUCAGUUCGGAUUGUAGGCUGCAACUCGCCUACAUGAAGUCGGAAUCGCUAGUAAUCGCGGAUCAGCACGCCGCGGUGAAUACGUUCCCGGGCCUU